rnacentral:rRNA from 1 species
GACGAACGCUGGCGGCGUGCUUAACACAUGCAAGUCGAACGGAAAGGCCCUGCUUUUUUGGGGUGCUCGAGUGGCGAACGGGUGAGUAACACGUGAGUAACCUGCCCUUGACUUUGGGAUAACUUCAGGAAACUGGGGCUAAUACCGGAUAGGAGCUCCCGCUGCAUGGUGGGGGUUGGAAAGUUUCGGCGGUUGGGGAUGGACUCGCGGCUUAUCAGCUUGUUGGUGGGGUAGUGGCUUACCAAGGCUUUGACGGGUAGCCGGCCUGAGAGGGUGACCGGCCACAUUGGGACUGCGAUACGGACCAGACUCCUACGGGAGGCAGCAGUGGGGAAUAUUGCACAAUGAGCGGAAGCCUGAUGCAGCAACGCCGCGUGCGGGAUGACGGCCUGCUGGUUGUGAACCGCUUUCGCCUGUGACGAAGCGUGAGUGACGGUAAUGGGUAAAGAAGCACCGGCUAACUACGUG